GGGCUCGUAGCUCAGUGGGAGAGCGCUCGCCUCACACGCGAGAGGCCACAGGUUCGAAACCUGUCGAGCCCA
rnacentral:tRNA from 1 species